GACGAACGCUGGCGGCGUGCUUAACACAUGCAAGUCGAACGGUGAAGGGGCCUGCUUUUGUGGGCCCUGGAUGAGUGGCGAACGGGUGAGUAACACGUGAGUAACCUGCCCCCUUCUUCUGGAUAACCGCAUGAAAGUGUGGCUAAUACGGGAUAUUCUGGGUCUGUCGCAUGAUGGGUCUGGGAAAGAUUGCGCCUUUGGGUGUUUUUGGUGGGGGAUGGGCUCGCGGCCUAUCAGCUUGUUGGUGGGGUGAUGGCCUACCAAGGCGGUGACGGGUAGCCGGCCUGAGAGGGUGGACGGUCACACUGGGACUGAGACACGGCCCAGACUCCUACGGGAGGCAGCAGUGGGGAAUAGUGCACAAUGGGCGCAAGCCUGAUGCAGCGACGCCGCGUGAGGGAUGGAGGCCUUCGGGGUGUAAACCUCUUUCGCCAGUGAAGCAGGCCUGCUCCUUGUGGGUGGGUUGACGGUAGCUGGAUAAGAAGCGCCGGCUAACUACGUG
rnacentral:rRNA from 1 species